UACAGAGGGUGCGAGCGUUAAUCGGAAUUACUGGGCGUAAAGCGUGCGUAGACGGUUAUUUAAGUCGGAUGUGAAAGCCCCGGGCUCAACCUGGGAAUUGCAUUCGAGUCUGAAUAGCUAGGGUGCGGUAGAGGGAAGCGGAAUUUCCGGUGUAGCGGUGAAAUGCGUAGAUAUCUGGAGGAACACCGGUGGCGAAGGCGGCAUCCUGGACCAAUACUGACGCUGAGGAGCGAAAGCCAGGGGAGCAAACGGG
rnacentral:rRNA from 1 species